CUUUGUUGCCAGCGGUCCGGCCGGGAACUCAAAGGAGACUGCCAGUGAUAAACUGGAGGAAGGUGGGGAUGACGUCAAGUCAUCAUGGCCCUUACGACCAGGGCUACACACGUGCUACAAUGGCGCAUACAAAGAGAAGCGACCUCGCGAGAGCAAGCGGACCUCAUAAAGUGCGUCGUAGUCCGGAUUGGAGUCUGCAACUCGACUCCAUGAAGUCGGAAUCGCUAGUAAUCGUGGAUCAGAAUGCCACGGUGAAUACGUUCCCGGGCCUUGUACACACCGCCCGUCACACCAUGGGAGUGGGUUGCAAAAGAAGUAGGUAGCUUAACCUUCGGGAGGGCGCUUACCACUUUGUGAUUCAUGACUGGGGUGAAGUCGUAACAAGGUAACCGUAGGGGAACCUGCGGUUGGAUCACCUCCUU
rnacentral:rRNA from 1 species